rnacentral:tRNA from 1 species
GCUUUUAUUUUUUGUUAACUUUGAAAGUUAAUAUAGGACAACCCUAAAAGCU